AGAGUUUGAUCCUGGCUCAGGAUGAACGCUAGCGGCAGGCUUAACACAUGCAAGUCGAGGGGCAGCGGGGAGGAAGCUUGCUUUCUCCGCCGGCGACCGGCGCACGGGUGAGUAACACGUAUGCAACCUGCCCCUGUCAGGGGGACAACCCGCCGAAAGGCGGGCUAAACCCGCGUACAUGCCACCGGGGCAUCCCGGAGGCAGGAAAAGCUUCGGCCGGACAGGGAUGGGCAUGCGGCGCAUUAGGCAGUAGGCGGGGUAACGGCCCACCUAACCGACGAUGCGUAGGGAUUCUGAGAGGAAGGUCCCCCACACUGGUACUGAGACACGGACCAGACUCCUACGGGAGGCAGCAGUGAGGAAUAUUGGUCAAUGGUCGGGAGACUGAACCAGCCAAGCCGCGUGAGGGAGGAAGGUACAGAGUAUCGUAAACCUCUUUUGUCAGGGAACAAAGGCGGGGACGUGUCCCCGGAUGAGUGUACCUGAAGAAAAAGCAUCGGCUAACUCCGUGCCAGCAGCCGCGGUAAUACGGAGGAUGCGAGCGUUAUCCGGAUUUAUUGGGUUUAAAGGGUGCGCAGGCGGUCUGUUAAGUCAGCGGUCAAAGCCCGGGGCUCAACCCCGGCCCGCCGUUGAAACUGGCAGUCUCGAGUUGGAGAGAAGUAUGCGGAAUGCGCGGUGUAGCGGUGAAAUGCAUAGAUAUCGCGCAGAACUCCGAUUGCGAAGGCAGCAUGCCGGCUCCACACUGACGCUGAGGCACGAAAGCGUGGGUAUCGAACAGGAUUAGAUACCCUGGUAGUCCACGCAGUAAACGAUGAAUGCUGGCUGUCCGGGGGGAUUGACCCCUGGGCGGCGAAGCGAAAGCGAUAAGCAUUCCACCUGGGGAGUACGCCGGCAACGGUGAAACUCAAAGGAAUUGACGGGGGCCCGCACAAGCGGAGGAACAUGUGGUUUAAUUCGAUGAUACGCGAGGAACCUUACCCGGGCUUGAAAUGUGCAGGACUCAGGCAGAGACGCCUGUUUCUUCGGACCUGCAUGUAGGUGCUGCAUGGUUGUCGUCAGCUCGUGCCGUGAGGUGUCGGCUUAAGUGCCAUAACGAGCGCAACCCUUCUCCCCGUUUGCCAUCAGUUAAUGCUGGGCACUCCGGGGACACUGCCAUCGUAAGAUGUGAGGAAGGUGGGGAUGACGUCAAAUCGGCACGGCCCUUACGUCCGGGGCUACACACGUGUUACAAUGGGGGGUACAGAGGGCCGCUAUCCCGCGAGGGUGCGCCAAUCCUCAAAACCUCUCUCAGUUCGGACUGGAGUCUGCAACCCGACUCCACGAAGCUGGAUUCGCUAGUAAUCGCGCAUCAGCCAUGGCGCGGUGAAUACGUUCCCGGGCCUUGUACUCACCGCCCGUCAAG
rnacentral:rRNA from 1 species